CAGUAUCGAGAAAUUGCUCCACAUCUUCAAGUCGCCGCUGUAUGGAGAGUUGAUGGUGAAGGAUGAUGCCUGUUAGCAGCGUUUUAUUAUCAAUUUCACAUAAGAUCUAGGGCGUAAUUUCUGGUUGUAGAAAGUAACAAUUUGUAGACGACGAACUCAAUUCUCCUGAAUUCGACCCUUAAUAAACUUCUAUUUGGUGAAACAAGAGACAAUUGAUUCCAAUUCGAUUCAUAAUUCGUCAUCGAAUCUGUUAGGUCUGGUCAUGUCAGAAAUAGACGAUUGGGGUGUGGUGUGGUGAGAUUGUUAACAUCGAUGUUACUGAUUUGUGAUUUGGAGGUUCAUAACAGUAGAGAGAUUUAAUCUUGUGUAGGUUUACUCACUUGAAGAUGGCCCACCAGUUUACAUGUUAAGAUAAUGCACAAAUUGGGUGUGGAAGCUAUGGGAGUUGGAGCUUUAAAAUUUACAAGACACCAUAGAAUGCAGCAGAGAAACCUGCAUUUUGAUUCAUUAUUCACAGUGAGGCAAGGUGUCUACGAAAGUUGAUGAUGGCAAUGAGACUAAUCUUCGAUUCAGAGUAGAACAUCUGCUUAAACAGUUACACGUGUAGCGAUUAAAACCCUUAAUUUUAAGAGGAUUGCUGAGACUGCUGGAGUGGUGGUUUCGAUUGAACCCAAGCCGAUUCCAGUCACUUUUGUUUUAAUUUUUUGAGGUGCUUAAAAACAGUUAAAUGUUUUAUAUUUUUUAUUGAUUCAAUGCCAUGUUUAUUUUAAGGUAAUAUAGAAGUUGAAUAUGCAAGGUGCUUAAAAACACCCCUCUGUGUUAGUGUGUCGAGGUAACGGUCAAAACAAACAGUUUUUUAUUUUUCUUAAAUCUGGAUAAAAACAUUCCGGGUCGGGCUAGAUUUGAAAA